ACCAGUGUGGUGUAGUGGUUGAGCAUUGGACUAUGACUCUGAGACCAGAGUUCGAAUCCCUGCUCAGCCA